CCCAUGGUGAGAGCGAUAUGGGCGUCAUUAGGAGCCCUUAUCUUGAACUGGACGGAACCGCUGGAUACCGGGAAAAAUUGGUAUUGGAGAUUAUCGUCCGUAGACACAUCUGUAACAAAUAUACGAUUUUCUUAUUUUAAUAUAGUAGGUAG